AACGCACGAGACCUGCGGACCUGCGGAGGGAUCAUUAAUGAGAAGCUGCCCCUCGUGGGUAGACCUCCCACCCUCUGUGAACUUACCUUAGUUGCUUUGGCAGGCCCGUCCUCUGGACCGCCGGCUUCGGCUGGCCCGUGCCUGCCAGAGGAUUCCAAACCCUGUCUGUCAGUGUUGUCUGAGUCUAUAUGAAAUCGUUAAAACUUUCAACAAUGGAUCUCUAGAUCGGAAGAGCACACG
rnacentral:misc_RNA from 1 species